UGAGACAAUAUCAACAUACCCUCACCAAGACAUUUCAAUAUCUUAUUUUAGAUUUCUGUGUAUAUUGCAUUUUUUAACUUGUUCAGGUCAAACUCAUGCAUGGUUGCGCUCGCCAUCGGUGCCUGGCGUUUAUCUUACUCUUGGCCAAUCCUCCAGCCAAUACAUUUCGGGUUUUGCUAGUUUUGCGAUUUGUUCAUUUCCUAGGUUUUCUUCUUGGGAAUCAUUUGGAUGGUUUAGAUGAUUGACAUCCUGCUUCAUUAGAAAUCGUUGACAUUGGUCCGGACAAUAGACAUCCCCUGCCCCACCUGUACAAAUUUAUAGUUGGAAUGCGCGAAAGUAUACACAUGCACGAUGAAGUGUGCAAUUUAUAUUCUAUUGGUAUCGACAAUUGUAUAAGUAGUUGUACAUAUAUGCUAUAAGAGAC
rnacentral:sRNA from 1 species